rnacentral:rRNA from 1 species
UACGUAGGGUGCGAGCGUUAAUCGGAAUUACUGGGCGUAAAGCGUGCGCAGGCGGUUCGUGAUGUCUGAUGUGAAAGCCCCGGGCUCAACCUGGGAAUGGCGAUGGAAACUGGCGGGCUGGAGUAUGGCAGAGGGGGGUGGAAUUCCGCGUGUAGCAGUGAAAUGCGUAGAGAUGCGGAGGAACACCGAUGGCGAAGGCAGCCCCCUGGGCCAAUACUGACGCUCAGGCACGAAAGCGUGGGGAGCAAACAGG